rnacentral:rRNA from 1 species
UACGUAGGGGGCAAGCGUUGUCCGGAUUUAUUGGGCGUAAAGAGCGUGUAGGCGGUCCGGUAAGUCCGCUGUGAAAGUCGGGGGCUCAACCCUCGAAUGCCGGUGGAUACUGUCGGGCUAGAGUGCGGAAGAGGCGAGUGGAAUUGCUGGUGUAGCGGUGAAAUGCGCAGAUAUCAGGAGGAACACCAAUAGCGAAGGCAGCUCGCUGGGACGGUACUGACGCUGAGACGCGAAAGCGUGGGGAGCAAACAGG